GUCGCCCAUUUGCACGCUAUACCGCGGACGAUAUUCUACCGUUAACCGCUCUUCUUCGCUCGCGAAUAAGUUUCGGAAAGCAAAAGUUCAAAGCAAAUACUAAAUUCAAGCCCAAGUUUCAAAGCCAGCUCAUCGCAUCAGCCGCCUAUACCGAUCAUUUUCAGGCCAAAAGUGUUAAUUGAAAGAAAUUGUCCAGAGUUAGUGUUAAAAUGGCAACAGCGUGCCUGCCCGUGUUUACGGAACGCUUUCAAGCCUCGGAGGAGCAUAUAGAAUCCGAUGAGGAGUGCGAUACUAUAGAACCGCCGCCAAAAACAAAUGGGUUUUUCUUCAGCUCUAGUACAAAUUAUCAGAGCAAAGUGCAGCAGCUAAUCAGCUUUAGCUUCACCUCCUCGUUCCACCUGCUCUUCAUUACCUGCAUCCUGAGCAUCAGCAAGUUCUGCAAUGCAGCGGCGGUGAACGCCGCCCAGGUGACCGCCGCCACGCCCAGUGCCAGCGAAAUUAUGCAGAACCUAAGCGGAUCUGCACUGCUGGAAAGGCUGAAAGCCACCACUCUGGGCCCUCCGCUGGAUAGACUCAAGCACCUGGCCCCGGCGGCUGCAAACAGUUUAAAUCCCGGAUUUGGAAUCGGAUCAGGAGUGGGCAUCGGAAUGGGAAACUUUGGAAACUCGCUAAAUUCUGUAUUAAAUGGAAAUCCCUUCAAGUUCUUGAAUGUAUCGGGAAAAGUAGGAACAUCACUGGAUAUAUCUCACAGCCUGUCGACGGAGUGCGAUGAAAAGCAGUUUCAGUGCUCUCCUGGCGUGUGUAUUCCCAUACGGUUUCUGUGCGACGGCGACUCCGAUUGCCCGGAUCAUAGUGACGAGCGGCUGGAGGAGUGCAAGUUCAAAGAAUCGACUUGCCGUUCGGACCAAUUCCGAUGUGGAACCGGCAUGUGCAUUCCCCAGAGAUUUGUCUGCGAUCGGGAGAACGACUGCCCCGAUGGAAGCGAUGAACUUCUGUCCCGUUGUGGCAGAAGUACCUGUACGCCCGAGCAGUUCGCCUGCAAGUCGGGCGAGUGCAUCCCGCUGGCCUGGAUGUGCGAUCAGCACAGUGACUGCCGGGACGGAAGCGACGAGGCCCAGUGCAAUAAGACUUGUCGCUCGGACGAGUUCACCUGCGGAAACGGCCGGUGCAUCCAGAAUCGCUUCAAGUGCGAUGGGGACAACGACUGCGGCGAUGGAACCGACGAGAAGGACUGCCACGACGCACAAAAGUGCCAGCCAGGAGCCUUUGCCUGCCCAAGUGGUCAGUGCCUCAUUGCCGAGUGGAUCUGCGAUGGUGAUGAAGACUGCCUUGAUGGCGCCGAUGAGAAGAACUGCACCACCACCAAAAUGUAUAGCGGUAUUGGAUUCUGUCAGCAGAAUGAGUUUCAAUGCAAUGAUCGCACAACUUGCCUGCAUAGGAGCUGGGUAUGUGACGGCGAAAGGGACUGUACCGGAGGCGAGGACGAGUCAGAGGAGAAUUGCCCGAAGGUUAGUUGCCGGCCAGAUCAGUUCCAGUGCCAGGAUCGCAGCUGCAUCGCCGGACACCUGACCUGCAACGGGGAGGGUGACUGUUCGGAUGGCAGUGACGAGCUAAACUGCACCUCGGCUGCUCCUAUAAAGCCCUGCAAUGCCACCAGCGAGUUCGACUGCGGCGGCGGCCAGUGCAUCCCCCUUGCCAAGGUCUGUGACAGGCGGAAGGACUGCCCCAAUGGCGAAGACGAGCCCGCCGGAAAGUGUGCAGUUAAUGAAUGCGCCACCUCGAACGGCGGUUGCAUGCACACCUGUGUCAACCAGGCCGUGGGUUACCGCUGCGAGUGCCGUCCGGGCUACAAGCUAGCCCCCGACAACCGCAGCUGUGUGGACAUCGAUGAGUGCGAGACCCCCGGCGUCUGCUCCCAGGAGUGCAUCAACCAGAUUGGAUCAUUCAAGUGCGAAUGCCAGGAGGGCUACAUGAGGGUCAUGCACAAUCACACCCGCUGCAAGGCCAGCGAGGGGCAUGCCUCCCUGCUUUUAACCCGCCGCCACGAUAUCCGGAAAAUUGCCCUCGACCGGCCGGAAAUGACUUCGAUUGUAAAUAGCACCAAGUCAUCCACCGCCCUGGACUUUGUCUUCCGCACGGGCAUGAUCUUCUGGAGCGACGUGACCACCCAGAGUAUCUACAAGUCCCCCAUCGACGAGGGCAACGAGAAGACGGUAGUGCUGAAGCGAAGCUCUGUGACCUCCGACGGACUGGCCGUGGACUGGAUCUAUAACCACGUCUACUACACGGACACCCACAAAUGUGCCAUUGAGCUGACCAACUUCGAGGGCAGCAUGGGCAAAGUGCUUAUCGAAGAUGCCGUAGACAUUCCCCGCUCCAUCGCCCUGGACCCCAUCGAUGGCUGGAUGUACUGGUCCGACUGGGGCGCAUCCCCUCGCAUCGAGCGGGCGGGUAUGGACGGCUCCCACCGCACCGCCAUCAUCACCUACGACGUCAAGUGGCCGAAUGGCAUCACCCUGGAUCUGGUGCUAAAGCGGAUCUACUGGGUGGACGGCAAGCUGAACAUCAUAUCGUCGGCCAACUUCGACGGCACCCAGCGCCGUCAGGUGCUGUACUCCAGCGAAUACCUGCGGCAUCCCUUCUCCAUCACCACGUUCGAGGACCACGUCUACUGGACGGACUGGGACAAGCAGGCCGUCUUCAAGGCCAACAAGUUCACUGGAGAGGACGUGGAAGCGGUUACAGCGACUCACAUGCUCGAACAUCCUAUGGUGGUGCAUGUGUACCAUCCGUACCGUCAACCCGAUGGCGUGAACCACUGCCAGUCGGUCAACGGCCACUGCUCCCACCUCUGUCUGCCAGCCCCCAGGAUUAACGAGCGGAGUCCUCGCAUAUCCUGCGCCUGCCCCACGGGCCUGAAACUGAUGUCCGACGGCCUCAUGUGUGUCGAAGAUCUGUAUGUGCCAAAUGAGCACGGCAGAAGGCCGAUCCACAAGACGACAAGCAAGUCGCCAGUCUCAACCACAGAACUACCUCAAGUAACGCACAGCGAAGUGCCGGUUGGAAACACGACGGAAAUCAAUACGCCCCAUGGAAAGCCCGAGGGCCCGCAAGAACCACCGAAAGGCUAUAUCCUCAUUAUUACGCUUUGCAGUCUAGCAGGCACAUCUUUAACCAUUUUAUUAGCUAUAUUUGUGUAUAGACGUUGCACGCGGACAGUGAACUCCAUGAACUUUGAGAAUCCUGUGUACCACAAGACCACGGAGGAUCACUUUAGUCUGGAGAAGAACGUGACGCCGCACAUGUACGCCACUGCCAUGGAGGAGGAGGUAAGCGGGUCCGUCCCACCGAUGGCGACCAAUACGAAUGACUUUAGCUACGUGAGGUUCUAAGGGCAGAUCUAGGUGCUAAGUUAGUGUUGUAAAUAGUGUGCUAAGUGUGCGUAUCAUAGUUGUAUUUAGGGUUAAGAAACGCGAUCCAAGUAGUUGAUAAUCGGGUAGGACGUAAGAUCAAAGUUAAAGGAGUCCUGGAAAUUGUUGUGAAUUUUUUAGUCUAUUGUUAGAGAGUUCCCGUACUUUUAUCCACCUGUCUAUUGAAAGUUAACCGUAUUCCAAUUUGCAAAUAUUUUAUUUAAAAUGCUGCGAGGCAUGAAGUUUCAGGCCUCGAAACCGCAGUCGCAAUUAUCUAUUAACAACGUCUGCUAACCCCCUGUGUGAACCGGGCACCGAAUGUGUCUGAGCCUCCGCCAAAGACUCACUAGUAUGCAUAUCCAACAUACACUGGCCGCACAGACCGAGAACAACCAAAACAAGUAUCUCCUACUAUAAAUUCCUUUAGACCAAGGCACCCGAAACUCAACUAAAUAAAAUGAAAGUUCAAAAAGUGAAAUGAAAAAGAAAGAAAAAAAGGGGAAAUAAGAAACUUUCAUUAGCAGUAAGAAAGAAGAAUGCCAAAAACAAAAUAGAAAAGACAACAUGCUUGGGGAGAAGAGAAUACUCAACAAAUUCAAUUUGUUGCCUAGUUUAAAAUUUAAUUUAAAUGUUAAAAUACUAAACCCAGAAACACACACACACACAAGCUCGCCAUACACAGUCACUAACACACACCCGUAAACUAAUAACAACAAACUUUUUUUAGGCGCAACAUUUCGACAUCAACUAACGGCGUCGAAUACGCACCCACGCCCACUCCUUCACCCGCCCACACACAUACACACACGCAUAAACUAAAAAGCCCUCAAGAACUCAAAAAAGGAACGAGCCAGGAAGCCAUUCAGAGCUAGAACUCCAACUUUCCUUUCACGUCCAUGAAAUCAAUUGUAAAAAGUUAAGACAUUUUGUUGAAGUUUUCUGAAAAAAAUAGACAUUUGUGAAAUCAAAAAGAUAAUGGCUAAACGGAAACUGUUUAUAGACAUAGAAACCAUUGUGACUAGUUGUAGAGUUUAUAUUUUGCUUUCCAAGAAACCAGAGUAAAUAAAUCAGAGUUAUUAGCACCGA